UACGUAGGGGGGCUAGCGUUGUCCGGAUUUAUUGGGCGUAAAGAGCGUGUAGGCGGCUGGGUAGGUCCGCUGUGAAAACUCGAGGCUUAACCUCGAGACGUCGGUGGAAACCAUCCAGCUAGAGUCCGGAAGAGGAGAGUGGAAUUCCUGGUGUAGCGGUGAAAUGCGCAGAUAUCAGGAAGAACACCCGUGGCGAAAGCGGCUCUCUGGGACGGUACUGACGCUGAGACGCGAAAGCGUGGGGAGCGAACAGG
rnacentral:rRNA from 1 species